GAUGAACGCUGGCGGCGUGCCUAAUACAUGCAAGUCGAGCGAACGGACGAUAAGCUUGCUUCUCUGAUGUUAGCGGCGGACGGGUGAGUAACACGUGGAUAACCUACCUAUAAGACUGGGAUAACUUCGGGAAACCGUAGCUAAUACCGUAUAAUAUUUUGAACCUCAUGGUUCAAAAGUGAAAGACGGUCUUGCUGUCACUUAUAGAUGGAUCCGCGCUGCAUUAGCUAGUUGGUAAGGUAACGGCUUACCAAGGCAACGAUGAAUACCCGACCUGAGAGGGUGAUCGGCCACACUGGAACUGAGACACGGUCCAGACUCCUACGGGAGGCAGCAGUAGGGAAUUUUCCGCAAUGGGGGAAAGCCUGACGGAGCAACGCCGCGUGAGUGAUGAAGGUCUUCGGAUCGUAAAACUCUGUUAUUAGGGAAGAACAUAUGUGUAAGUAACUGUGCACAUCUUGACGGUACCUAAUCAGAAAGCCACGGCUAACUACGUG
rnacentral:rRNA from 1 species